rnacentral:sRNA from 2 species
CGUUACGAUACGCUGAAUCGCAAGAGCGGGGGACCCAACAAUCGGGGUGAAUCUCAUGAACAUGAGUAGGGCUACCCAUCUGCCCGAACCCGUCAGCUAACCUCGUAAGCGCAGGAUGAGGAGGA